UACGGAGGAUGCGAGCGUUAUCCGGAUUUAUUGGGUUUAAAGGGUGCGUAGGCGGACUGUCAAGUCAGCGGUAAAAUACGGGGGCUCAACCUCCGCCCGCCGUUGAAACUGACGGUCUUGAGUGGGCGAGAAGUAUGCGGAAUGCGUGGUGUAGCGGUGAAAUGCAUAGAUAUCACGCAGAACUCCGAUUGCGAAGGCAGCAUACCGGCGCCCUACUGACGCUGAGGCACGAAAGCGUGGGUAUCGAACAGG
rnacentral:rRNA from 1 species